rnacentral:lncRNA from 1 species
ACGCCGAGGUUGCGAGAAUCUACGAGGCGUGGAUGGAGAAACACGGCAAGAAGGCGCAGAGCAACGGUCUUGUCGGCGAGGAGAAGGACCAGAGAUUUGAGAUCUUCAAAGACAAUCUCCGAUUCAUCGACGAACACAACAACAAAAACCUCAGUUACAAACUCGGUCUAACCCGGUUCGCUGAUCUGACCAACGAAGAGUACCGAUCUAUCUACCUCGGUGCCAAACCGAAGAAGAGAGUCCUCAAAACCAGCGAUCGUUAUCAGCCGCGUGUUGGUGACGCGAUACCUGAUUCUGUUGACUGGAGAAAAGAAGGUGCCGUCGCCGCCGUUAAAGAUCAGGGAAGCUGCGGUAAGCCUCCGAUCAUUUACAAUGAAAUCAGGUCUCCACUAGAACUAUUAAAGCUAAAAAAUAAAAUAUAAACAUUGAAACUUGGUAAUGAUAAUGUUUGGUCUCAAGUCGUGACUUUUAGAUGUACGUUUCUGUAAUAAUUGUGGUUAGAUUUGAAAAAUCGUAAACUCUCUUAGUGAUAUUUUAUUUGUUAGGAACGUUCUUGUCGUCUUUUAAACUUUAAAGUUGUGUAGUGGGACCAUUAAAUUGAUAACGGACCCAUACGAUAUCCACCUUUUAAAAGAAUUAAAGCAAGUGGUGGGGGCUAAAGUAUUUGAUUAUUUUGAUUUAACGGAUCUUCUCUUGAUCUGUUUUGUAGGGAGUUGUUGGGCAUUUUCAACCAUUGGAGCGGUGGAAGGAAUAAACAAGAUCGUGACAGGAGAUUUAAUCUCUUUGUCUGAACAAGAACUUGUUGACUGUGACACAUCUUACAACCAGGGUUGUAAUGGAGGUUUGAUGGAUUAUGCCUUUGAGUUCAUCAUUAAAAACGGUGGUAUUGAUACCGAAGAGGAUUAUCCAUACAAAGCUGCUGACGGUCGUUGUGAUCAGACCAGGGUUAGUAUAUCAUUAUUGUAUUUAGUUUAGUUUUUAGGGUCAAAUGAAAUCAAAAACAAUAAUAGCUUUAAUCUCUCUCUGUUUUUCGUCAUUUUGGCAGAAAAACGCAAAGGUCGUCACGAUUGAUGCCUAUGAGGAUGUGCCUGAGAACAACGAGGCUGCGCUCAAGAAAGCUUUGGCUAACCAGCCUAUUAGUGUCGCCAUUGAAGCUGGGGGUCGCGCUUUCCAGCUCUAUUCUUCGGUAUGAGCUAUAAGCAAUUUGUUUAUAACUAGAUAACAUGAGAAGGAUCAAUGCAAUAGGAACGAUGAAUGGUCUUGUAACACGUUUUCUAUUAUAGUCAGAUAAUCAUUUCAAAAUAUUAAAGUGUUUGCUUUGCCUUUUUUGACUCUUCAGGGUGUAUUUGAUGGAAUAUGUGGAACAGAGCUAGACCAUGGAGUUGUAGCUGUGGGUUACGGAACUGAGAACGGAAAGGACUACUGGAUUGUGAGAAACUCAUGGGGAGGAAGCUGGGGAGAGAGCGGAUACAUAAAGAUGGCACGUAACAUUGCGGAGCCAACAGGGAAGUGUGGAAUCGCCAUGGAGGCUUCGUACCCGAUCAAGAAAGGUCAGAACCCACCAAACCCUGGACCAUCACCACCAUCUCCCAUUAAGCCACCGACCCAGUGUGACAAGUACUACUCUUGCCCCGAGGGCAAUACUUGCUGUUGUCUCUUCAAGUACGGCAAGUACUGCUUCGGUUGGGGAUGUUGCCCUCUCGAAGCUGCUACUUGCUGCGAUGAUAACACUAGCUGCUGUCCUCAUGAGUACCCGGUUUGCAAUGGCGAUACCUGUUUGAUGGUGAGUUUCUUGGUAAUUUUGAGUUGGAUGAUAAUGUUUGGAAAAUGUUUACUGAUUUCUGUAUAACAUUAUCACAAGAAUCUUUUUGUUUCAAAAUAAAGAGAUAUAAUCUUGUUUUACGAAAUCCUAUCCACGCGGUAGCGCGUGAGAUUAAACGUUUCCUUCACGUGCUCCUAUCUACUUGGGCAAUUGAUAUAUAACAGUUAAUCUUACCUCCAAUGACACCACAUCCACUUGGCACUUCUGAGCUGUCGUUAUUACCCUCAUCUUGUCUUAACCAAUAAUAAUUGACCUUUCACAAUUUUUAUAUUUCAUUUUCACCCUUCUACUUCUCACUUAUUUUGUAACCCCCCUCAUUUCUUUUGAUUCACUUCAACAGCCCAUAUAAUUUCUUUAUUAGAAAAACAAGAACAGAAAGUUGACAAAAUAAUUGAAAACUUAAUAAAAAUACUCAUUUAAUUCCCCUCUUACGUCAUCCCUUUAGUCUAAUUCAAUUAUCCUUUUUAAUAUUCAAAAGAUUCGUUAGUAAAUUGGUUGUGUCUAAAAAAAUAUUUAACUAAAAUAAUGGAAAUUUAUUUAUUUACAGAAAAAAUAGAGGACCAUUUCUAUUUCACAAGCUCUUUAGACGCAAUUACAAAAUUUUGAAAAUACUCUAUUUUUAGUAGAUUAUAUACUUUUAACCAUUUUUUCUAAACUAUUUUUAUUUGUGAAAAGAGGACAAAAGUAAUUAAUAAUUAAUUCUAAACCUUUACUGAAUUUCCCCUUUAUAUACAACCCCAUCAACCCCUUUCUCAAUCACACAAUUGUCUUCUUCAUCCUCAGAAAACUAAAAACAUGGGCUCCGUAAAGGUAACCAUCCUCCUCUUAGCAAUGAUGAUCGGCGUUUCGUAUGCUGCCGACAUGUCGAUCAUCUCGUACGACGAGAAACACCACAUCACCGCCGACAACGAGCGGAGACACGACGCAAGAUAACAAUACAAUAUAUACAUAAGUUAUCUCUUUUUUAAAUUAUAUUUUCAGAUUUUGGAUAAUUCUUAUUAUUUUUAAUAAUAAUCAAUUAUCUAAUCAAAAUCAAUUAAAAUUUCGUUUUUAUUUUUUAAUUUAUUUAUAUAUUUUAUUCAUUAAGGGUAUAAACGAUAUUAACCAGUUUAACUUUCAACUUGAGAGCUUCAUUGCAAAAAUUUACUUCGCAAAUAAUAGUAUAGACAUGUGUUUUUAUUUAUAGGCUAAAUGUAUAUUUCGUUUUCUCUUAAACAAACCUUUUAACCUUAAAAAUAUGUCAAACUUGAUAUUUAAAGAUGUGAAUAGGACAACAAUUGGCAAUACAGCAGUCCACAUAUCAUCUUUUUAUUUGUUAUUAUUUUUAUAAAGUAGGAAACUAUUAGAAGUAGGGAAAUAUCACCCGAAAUAAAAAUGUAUGGUACAGUUAAUUUUCUCCUAUCUUCUACAACUACUUAUCUAGGUACAUUGUAUAUACAAAUAAAAUAAACUUUAAUAAAAUAUUAUGUUUGAUGUGUAUACGCAAGGAAGAAUACUUGAGUAUUUUAUUAUCACAAGGAAUCAUAAUAAUAGACCACAAUGUGAACUUACAUUUCGGGAUCAUAAGAAAAUCCCCGGUAUCUUAUAACAUUAUCACAAGAAUCUUUUUGUUUCAAAAUUGAAAAUACAGUAAAGAGAUAAUCUUGUUUUACGAAAUCCUAUCCACGCGGUAGCGCGUGAGAUUAAACGUUUCCUUCACGUGCUCCUAUCUACUUGGACAAUUGAUAUAUAACAGUUAAUCUUACCUCCAAUGACACCACAUCCACUUGGCACUUCUGAGCUGUCGUUAUUACCCUCAUCUUGUCUUAACCAAUAAUAAUUGACCUUUCACAAUUUUUAUAUUUCAUUUUCACCCUUCUACUUCUCACUUAUUUUGUAACCCCCCUCAUUUCUUUUGAUUCACUUCAACAGCCCAUAUAAUUUCUUUAUUAGAAAAACAAGAACAGAAAGUUGACAAAAUAAUUGAAAACUUAAUAAAAAUACUCAUUUAAUUCCCCUCUUACGUCAUCCCUUUAGUCUAAUUCAAUUAUCCUUUUUAAUAUUCAAAAGAUUCGUUAGUAUAUUGGUUGUGUCAAAAAAAUAUCUAACUAAAAUAAUGGACAUUUAUUUAUUUAAGAAAAAAAUAGAGGACUAUUUCUAUUUCACAAGCUCUUUAGAUGCAAUUACAAAAAUUUGAAAAUACUCUAUUUUUAGUAGAUUAUAUACUUUUAACCAUUUUUUCUAAACUAUUUUUAUUUGUGAAAAGAGGACAAAAGUAAUUAAUAAUUAAUUCUAAACCUUUACUGAAUUUCCCCUUUAUAUACAACCCCAUCAACCCCUUUCUCAAUCACACAAUUGUCUUCUUCAUCCUCAGAAAACUAAAAACAUGGGCUCCGUAAAGGUAACCAUCCUCCUCUUAGCAAUGAUGAUCGGCGUUUCGUAUGCUGCCGACAGGUCGAUCAUCUCGUACGACGAGAAACACCACAUCCCCGCCGACAACGAGCGGAGCGACGCCGAGGUUGCGAGAAUCUACGAGGCGUGGAUGGAGAAACACGGCAAGAAGGCGCAGAGCAACGGUCUUGUCGGCGAGGAGAAGGACCAGAGAUUUGAGAUCUUCAAAGACAAUCUCCGAUUCAUCGACGAACACAACAACAAAAACCUCAGUUACAAACUCGGUCUAACCCGGUUCGCUGAUCUGACCAACGAAGAGUACCGAUCUAUCUACCUCGGUGCCAAACCGAAGAAGAGAGUCCUCAAAACCAGCGAUCGUUAUCAGCCGCGUGUUGGUGACGCGAUACCUGAUUCUGUUGACUGGAGAAAAGAAGGUGCCGUCGCCGCCGUUAAAGAUCAGGGAAGCUGCGGUAAGCCUCCGAUCAUUUACAAUGAAAUCAGGUCUCCACUAGAACUAUUAAAGCUAAAAAAUAAAAUAUAAACAUUGAAACUUGGUAAUGAUAAUGUUUGGUCUCAAGUCGUGACUUUUAGAUGUACGUUUCUGUAAUAAUUGUGGUUAGAUUUGAAAAAUCGUAAACUCUCUUAGUGAUAUUUUAUUUGUUAGGAACGUUCUUGUCGUCUUUUAAACUUUAAAGUUGUGUAGUGGGACCAUUAAAUUGAUAACGGACCCAUACGAUAUCCACC